UACGUAGGGUGCAAGCGUUAUCCGGAAUUAUUGGGCGUAAAGAGCUCGUAGGCGGUUUGUCGCGUCUGCUGUGAAAACCGGAGGCUCAACCUCCGGCCUGCAGUGGGUACGGGCAAACUAGAGUGCGGUAGGGGAGAUUGGAAUUCCUGGUGUAGCGGUGGAAUGCGCAGAUAUCAGGAGGAACACCGAUGGCGAAGGCAGAUCCCUGGGCCGUAACUGACGCUGAGGAGCGAAAGCGUGGGGAGCGAACAGG
rnacentral:rRNA from 1 species